AGAGAGAGACAUGCGCGCAUAUCAAUAAGCGGAGGAAAAGAAACUAACAAGGAUUCCCCUAGUAACGGCGAGUGAAGCGGGAAGAGCUCAAAUUUGAAAUCUUAAAGGGUUUCCCUUUACGAAUUGUAGUUUAAAGAAGUGUUUUCUGUUGAGGUUUUGGUAAAAGUUCUUUGGAAUAGGACAUCAUAGAGGGUGAGAAUCCCGUAUUUGACCUUUACUUUCAACUUUGUGAUACACUUUCAAAGAGUCGGAUUGUUUGGGAAUGCAGUCCAAAAUGGGUGGUAAAUUUCAUCUAAAGCUAAAUAUUGGCGAGAGACCGAUAGCGAGCAAGUACCGUGAGGGAAAGAUGGAAAAGAACUUUGAAAAGAGAGUUAAACAGUACGUGAAAUUGUCAAAAGGGAAGCGUUUGACACCAGUGUUGUUUUUCUGAAAAUCAAUUAAAGAACUGUUUAUGCUAAGUUGUUUAGACUUUAUCAGCUAACUGUUUAGUUUUGAGCUUUUCUUUAAUGCACUUUUCAGUUAACAAGUCAACAUCAAUUCCUUUUGCUGUAAAAAAGCUUGAGGAAGGUGGCUUGAGAUUCGUCUUAAGUGUUUAUAGCCUCUUGCCUAUGCAGUCGGAGAGAUUGAGGUCUGCAGCGUAGAUCCUUCGGGGCUAAAUGCAUUUGUGCUAAGUUAUAGCAUUUUAUAGACAACUUGUUGACUAUGAUUUGUCUUGUAGCUUACUCGCUUAUGUUAUUUUACCUACGCUUAGGAUGUUGACGCAUGAGAUAUACGC
rnacentral:rRNA from 1 species